rnacentral:snRNA from 1 species
UAGGAUUAUUACUAUAUAU